ACAAUAUCAUGAAUGUGCAGUAUGGAAGGGAUGGGAACUGAGAGGUUUGUCCCACACAGUGUAACUAGGGGUUAGUGCUGACAUGUUUUCUCAGUUUAUUAGUAGCUAUUAUUUGUGAGAGUCCCCCGCAGAGUGUUAUCCCACAGAAAAUAGGACUGCUCGUGAGCGUUUUCCCGAUCGUCUUCCUGGGCUUCAGCGAUUCUUGUCUUUGCUUUGCCAGGUCCCUCUCUCACAACCCGGCAAGGUGUGGCCCCAUUCAUCAUCAAUCCGAGGGUCAGUAUCUACCAUGCAUUGGAGUCCACCCCAUGCGGAAUUGUUGCAUUCGAUCUCGAUUUAUUUGGAGACCAGCAUUCAAGGCCAGGUAGUCAGUUUUCAUGCCUAGUAAAGUCUUUGGUUACUCGCCCUCUAAAGGGCCAGGCCCCAGUUUCAGGCGAUGAUCACAGUCGCUCGGAUUGAUUAAGGUGGCCGCGAAAGUCUUGACGGAAUCUGUAGGCCCAUUUUGUACUCGCACCUUAAAUCGUACAAUAAAGCCAUGAGUACUUGCACAUAAAAGAAUGACGCAUAGUGAAUGGUGGGUAUUUUCAUGCUGUUAAUAGUAGUUUCCAACUCUGGACCAUGAACCACGUAUAUCCCAAAAAUGAUAGGCUAGAUACAACCAAAUAGCCAAUCAUGUUCAUGUUCCGUGGAAAUGAUUCAACAAAUGCGGUUCCCAAAUGGUUCCCAAAAAAAUUAUCGCUGAGUAUUCAUAUAUAUCUAAUGUGG
rnacentral:sRNA from 1 species